ensembl:snRNA U5 U5 spliceosomal RNA
AUACUCCGUUUUCUCUUCAGAUCAUAUAAAUCUGUCGCCUUUUACUAAAGAUUUCCAUGGAGAGGAACAUUUAUUUUUGUAUUUCUGUACACCACCCUGAUAUUUUACAAGAGAGUGGUUUAUAAUUAUU